rnacentral:rRNA from 1 species
AACGAACGCUGGCGGCAGGCCUAACACAUGCAAGUCGAGCGAAGCCUUCGGGCUUAGCGGCGGACGGGUGAGUAACGCGUGGGAACAUGCCCCAAAGUGAGGAAUAACUGCACGAAAGGGUGGCUAAUGCCGCAUGUGGUCUUCGGACUAAAGCUUUAUGCGCUUUGGGAGUGGCCUGCGUCCGAUUAGCUUGUUGGUGAGGUAAUGGCUCACCAAGGCGACGAUCGGUAGCUGGUCUGAGAGGAUGAUCAGCCAGACUGGAACUGAGAACGGUCCAGACUCCUACGGGAGGCAGCAGUAGGGAAUUUUCCACAAUGGGCGAGAGCCUGAUGGAGCAACGCCGCGUGCAGGAUGAAUGCCUUCGGGUUGUAAACUGCUUUUAUGUGCGAAGAAUUUGACUGUAACACAUGAAUAAGGAUCGGCUAACUACGUGCCAGCAGCCGCUGUAAGAC